rnacentral:tRNA from 1 species
GGAGGGGUGGCCGAGCGGUUUAAGGCGACGCUCUUGAAAAGCGUUAGACGGGAAACCGUCUCGUGGGUUCGAAUCCCACCCCCUCCG